rnacentral:rRNA from 1 species
CUUGCAUUCACCGAAAGAAGCUUAGUGGCGAACGGGUGAGUAACACGUAGGCAACCUGCCCAAAAGAGGGGGAUAACACUUGGAAACAGGUGCUAAUACCGCAUAACCAUGAACACCGCAUGAUGUUCAUGUAAAAGACGGCUUUUGCUGUCACUUUUGGAUGGGCCUGCGGCGUAUUAACUUGUUGGUGGGGUAACGGCCUACCAAGGUGAUGAUACGUAGCCGAACUGAGAGGUUGAUCGGCCACAUUGGGACUGAGACACGGCCCAAACUCCUACGGGAGGCAGCAGUAGGGAAUCUUCCACAAUGGACGAAAGUCUGAUGGAGCAACGCCGCGUGAAUGAAGAAGGCCUUCGGGUCGUAAAAUUCUGUUGUCAGAGAAGAACGUGCGUGAGAGUAACUGUUCACGUAUUGACGGUAUCUGACCAGAAAGCCACGGCUAACUACGUGCCAGCAGCCGCGGUAAUACGUAGGUGGCGAGCGUUGUCCGGAUUUAUUGGGCGUAAAGGGAACGCAGGCGGUCUUUUAAGUCUGAUGUGAAAGCCUUCGGCUUAACCGAAGUAGUGCAUUGGAAACUGGAAGACUUGAGUGCAGAAGAGGAGAGUGGAACUCCAUGUGUAGCGGUGAAAUGCGUAGAUAUAUGGAAGAACACCAGUGGCGAAAGCGGCUCUCUGGUCUGUAACUGACGCUGAGGUUCGAAAGCGUGGGUAGCAAACAGAUUAGAUACCCUGGUAGUCCACGCCGUAACGAUGAGUGCUAAGUGUUGGAGGGUUUCGCCCUUCAGUGCUGCAGCUAACG